UAAAGGAAUUGGCGGGGGAGCACCACAAGGGGUGAAGCCUGCGGUUCAAUUGGAGUCAACGCCAGAAAUCUUACCCGGAGAGACAGCAGAAUGAAGGUCAAGCUGAAGACUUUACCAGACAAGCUGAGAGGUGGUGCAUGGCCGUCGCCAGCUCGUGCCGUGAGAUGUCCUGUUAAGUCAGGUAACGAGCGAGAUCCCUGCCUCUAGUUGCCACCAUUACUCUCAGGAGUAGUGGGGCGAAUUAGCGGGACCGCCGCAGUUAAUGCGGAGGAAGGAAGGGGCCACGGCAGGUCAGUAUGCCCCGAAACUCUGGGGCCACACGCGGGCUGCAAUGGUAAUGACAAUGGGUUCCAAAUCCGAAAGGAGGAGGUAAUCCCCAAACAUUACCACAGUUAUGACUGAGGGCUGCAACUCGCCCUCACGAAUAUGGAAUCCCUAGUAACUGCGUGUCAUUAUCGCGCGGUGAAUACGUCCCUGCUCCUUGCACACACCGCCA
rnacentral:rRNA from 1 species